rnacentral:rRNA from 1 species
UCCUACGGGGCGCAGCAGUGAGGAAUAUUGGUCAAUGGGCGGGAGCCUGAACCAGCCAAGCCGCGUGAAGGAAGAAGGCGCCAAGCGUCGUAAACUUCUUUUGUCGGGGAACAAAGGGCGCCACGUGUGGCGUUGUGAGUGUACCCGAAGAAAAAGCAUCGGCUAACUCCGUGCCAGCAGCCGCGGUAAUACGUAGGUGGCAAGCGUUAUCCGGAUUUAUUGGGUGUAAAGGGCGUGUAGGCGGGAAAGCAAGUCAGAUGUGAAAACUCAGGGCUCAACCCUGAGCCUGCAUUUGAAACUGUUUU